GACGAACGCUGGCGGCGUGCUUAACACAUGCAAGUCGAACGGAAAGGCCCUGCUUUUGUGGGGUGCUCGAGUGGCGAACGGGUGAGUAACACGUGAGUAACCUGCCCUUGACUUUGGGAUAACUUCAGGAAACUGGGGCUAAUACCGGAUAGGAGCUCCUGCUGCAUGGUGGGGGUUGGAAAGUUUCGGCGGUUGGGGAUGGACUCGCGGCUUAUCAGCUUGUUGGUGGGGUAGUGGCUUACCAAGGCUUUGACGGGUAGCCGGCCUGAGAGGGGGACCGGGGACAAGGGGACUGAGAUACGGCCCAGACUCCUACGGGAGGCAGCGGUGGGGAAUAUUGCACAAUGGGCGGAAGCCUGUUGCAGCAACGCCGCGUGCGGGAAGACGGCCUUCGGGUUGUAAACCGCUUUCGCCGGUGACGAAGCGGGAGUGACGGUAAUGGGUAAAGAAGCACCGGCUAACUACGUG
rnacentral:rRNA from 1 species